GAAAUCUAGCGGUUCGUGGAGGAAAUUUUUUAAUUAAGUAGAUGCUAGUGAUCUCUGUUUUACGUGAAUUUUAGUGUAUUUCUAGCUCGAUCUUCGUCAGUGUCUGAGGAUUUGAAGAAACCGAUCGGGUUUGGUUCUCCAUUUAGUGAAGUGCAGUGAUGUGUUGAGUAAUGGCACUUAGACUUCCAGCUCCAAAGGCAGCUGAGGUUGCAAUUGGGUCCAUAGGGCAUGGAUAUGAUAUAACAGCUGAUUUAAGGUUGAAAUACUGUAAAGGGGGUGCAAAGGAUUCACAAUUAAUUGAGAUUGAUGAAGGUGGGGGUGGAGAGAUUGUUCUUCCAGGUGGGAUAUCAAUACCAAAUGUGCCUAAGUCAAUAAAGUGCGAUAAAGGGGAGCGGACAAGGUUUAGGUCUGAUGUCCUCUCUUUCCAGCAGAUGUCUGAGCAAUUCAACCAGG
rnacentral:misc_RNA from 1 species